rnacentral:rRNA from 1 species
GAUGAACGCUAGCGGCAGGCCUAACACAUGCAAGUCGAGGGGUAGAACACUUCGGUGUUUGAGACCGGCGCACGGGUGCGUAACGCGUAUGCAAUCUGCCUUACACUAAGGGAUAGCGCAGAGAAAUUUGGAUUAAUACCUUAUAGUAUAUUGAUGUGGCAUCACAUUAUUAUUAAAGAUUUAUUGGUGUAAGAUGAGCAUGCGUCCCAUUAGCUAGUUGGUAUGGUAACGGCAUACCAAGGCAAUGAUGGGUAGGGGUCCUGAGAGGGAGAUCCCCCACACUGGUACUGAGACACGGACCAGACUCCUACGGGAGGCAGCAGUGAGGAAUAUUGGUCAAUGGUCGCAAGACUGAACCAGCCAUGCCGCGUGCAGGAUGAAGCAUCUAUGGUGUGUAAACUGCUUUUGUACGGGAAGAAACACCUCUUCGUGAAGAGGCUUGACGGUACCGUAAGAAUAAGGAUCGGCUAACUCCGUGCCAGCAGCCGCCGUAAGAC